rnacentral:rRNA from 1 species
GAUGAACGCGGCGGCGUGCCUAACACAUGCAAGUCGAACGAGAUGCGUAUUGGAAAGCUUCGGCCGGAAGAUGCGUUAUCCAGUGGCGGACGGGUGAGUAACACGUGGGUAACCUGCCUUAUGGAGGGGGAUAACAGAGAGAAAUCACUGCUAAUACCGCAUAAGCACACAUUGCCGCAUGGCAGAGUGUGAAAAGAUUUAUCGCCAUAAGAUGGACCCGCGUCUGAUUAGCCAGUUGGCAGGGUAAAAGCCUACCAAAGCAACGAUCAGUAGCCGAUCUGAGAGGAUGACCGGCCACAUUGGGACUGAGACACGGCCCACACUCCUACGGGAGGCAGCAGUGGGGAAUAUUGCACAAUGGGGGAAACCCUGAUGCAGCGACGCCGCGUGAGUGAAGAAGUA